UAACUGUCAGUCAGGAGGUGCCUCCAGGACUAUGUGUGAGGUGAAGUGCACCGUUGACAUUAGCGCUGAGAAAGACGGGUUUAGUGGUUUGGGUUUUUUGCUACCAUGUCGCCUCCUGCUCCCAUUGCUGUCAUUGCAACACAUUCUGUUAGAAUAGCUACCUUCAGCCAUCACGACACUUCAGAAGUUAUUGGCAUGUCCAACUAAAGUUCAAAAUGCCCCCAGACAAAAAACGUUAUUAAGCUGGAAUUAAGACUGAAAGCAAACCUUCACAUUCAUUAAGAUUUUUUGUGUCUUGAAAUCUACUUCAACUAUAUCAUUGGCAUCAAGUAUUGCAACUCCAAUACCAGCCCUGCUUCCUAACCAGAGAUUGGCAGGGAAUGAGGCUCAGACCGUUCAAUACACAACACUUUCCAGAAGGAAUCGCAGCUGCUUCCAACUUGCGAUAGCAGGAUGGCCUCUGGGUGACCCCGGAUUAGUGUAAAUAUUUUGCUUUUAUUGGAAGGAAAUGUGACAUACAUUUGGGAUGGAAGUUAUCCAGAGACUGCAGACUUGGGAGCCAAGCCUCUGGGAAGCACACGCAGCGGUGGUCUCAAGGGUAUUUCAGCACUUCCCAGACAACAAGACUGUUCAUAAAGUUCGUGUGUAUCUAAUUUCAAAUUGAAUGUCAGUGGUUCAGCCCCCUGUCAAGGCCUAAAAAGAAACAGACCUGUUUACAGGACAACAGUCUUCAUGCACUAAAGCCAGGGCUUAACAAAAUGUGCAGUGAUGCACGGUCAAGCUGUGAAACCGUGGAGACGUGCAUUGACUUUUUAGGAGUAUAUGCAAUGAAAGUUAAACAACCCCUGACGUUCUUGGUCUUGCUGCCUAGAAUCAGCACUUCAUUUUCUAUUACGUGCAGCGACAGUCUAAACAGUUUUGUAGGCAGCCACUGACUGCAUCAUACUGAAUCCUUAUGGCAGCCCUUAGAAAUGAAUUUCUGUCAAAGGAAUUAACCCAUUCUCAACCUCCAGAGCACUGCCAGGUGAAAUGCAACAGGAAAGUGAGGCAAUAAAACAACUGCUCUGAGAAAUGGACAUUUUCAUCAGUGAAGACAUGUUAAAAAAGUAAAUGCCCUGUGUGGGGAGGAUUUGGUCUGUCAUCCACAACCCAGGUCUCACAGAACUCUCCUACAUAGGUGGUUUACUUGGGCUGUUUUAUGGGGCCAGGAUUUGGCCAAUGGAAUAUAUAGAGAUGGGCAUGCACUGAGCAAUACUUAAUACACAUUUAAUACAAAUUUGCAUCUUGACAGGGGGUUAGACUAGACUCUUGUGGUCCCUUCUAACCCUGUGAGUCUAUGAUUCUACCUGAUAAGGUAAGAACUAGUAAGCUGUUAGGAUCAACCCACAUGUCUACCAAACCGAACCAAGAAAUUGUGGCCAUGCUAUUUUGGGCUGUGCUCUCGUCUUAGCUCUUAUAAAUUAAACCAAGUUAGGCCUAGGCAACACUCAGGUGGGAAACUACAAAAGAAAAUCCAGCUUGUUGUCAUGGCGGUAAGUGAUUCAGCUGUUGCCAUUCUUCCCUCUGGGUUAGUACUAAACCAGUAGCCCAGCAUGGUUCUAGGGGCUGCUGUGCUAAUGCAGGUGCCAUGUUCUGUGCAUCUCAGGUCCUGAACACUAAUGAUCUUUAAAGAUCACUUGGCACUUUUUACAAGACUAGGUGCAUUAGUCCCAUUAUCACAAAUGUCUUGGUCAAAUUCAAACUUGUUUAAUUACAGUUUGACAACUUAAAUUUUCCUUGAAAUGUCAAUUGUAUGUAACAGUCUUCUUCUCUUUUAUCUUCUCUCUCUACAUCAGGUAUUUCUGAGGUGUCUAUAGUUGUAGUAGCUAAGCACCUCUCCUAAACUGUUACAUAGCAUUGAUUUCAAUUGUUAGCUUUAAAAUAUAUAUUCACAUUCAAAAUGGAUAAAAGGAAAUACUUUUUCACAUGAUGAAUAUUUAGACUGCAGAACUCAUUGCCACAUGAAAUUGUUGAAGCCAAAAAUUUAGUAGGAUUCAGAAAAGGGCUGGACAUAUAUUGGAUAUUAAGAAUAUCCAGAUUUAUCAUAAGUACUGAUAGAACUUUGGAAAGGAUAUUAAACCUCAUUCUUCAGGGAUUAAGCCAGUCUCUAAGUACUAGAGACCAGGAUGAGAUCUAAUAUGUAGGGCAGAUUAUCCCACAUCUGUCUACUGCAGAGUUCUUACACCUUCCUCUGAAGCACCUAGUGCUGACCACUGUCAGAGACAGGAUACUGAACUAGACAGACCUGGUAAGGCAAUUCCUGUGUUCCUGUGCCACAUUCCAUCCCAGAGGUGGCUGCACUUCAGUGGUCAGUGAACUGAUUCUUAUAUGCAAACAACUCAGUGAGAAAAGCGCUAAGUUAAUUAUCUCAUGGACUGUAACAAAAUUAUAAAGCCAUGAAGGCAUUAUAGCUACUGAAAUCAACUUCUGAUGUUGGACCCUGUGGAAAGGACUUACAGCCACCACAGAUACAAUUAGUUAGUUCAUUACCUCAGUGAGAAAAACAGCUGAUGGGAAGUUAGUAGCCCACUCCAACCCUGUGUUUAAGGAGGUUAAUUUAAUUCUGUUGGGCUUCUUUUGUGUUGCAGAGCAGUUGGACAAUAACCCACUUUCUCAACAGCCACAGGUUUAUGGGGCCUUAUUUUACAUACGCUGGUUUUACUCUGAUGUAACUCCAUUGACUUUAAUGCAGUUACUCCUGGUUUACAUUACUGUGAGAGGAGAAUAAGGCCCAGGAUACCUAAGGGACACAUCCUACUAGCCAAAGGAGUUGUGAUUUUGUCAGACAAUGAAAGAACAAAAGGAUUUUAAUUAUUUGGGGAGGAAUUAUAACACAAACAGUGUAGUUGCUGUGUCCAUCUCAGGAUCUUAGAGAGACAAGAUGGGUGAGGUAAUAUCUUUUAUUGGACCGACUUCUGUUGGUGAGAGAGACAAACUUUUGAGCUCUGUGUGGCUCAAAAGCGUGGCUCUCUUACCAACAGAAGUUGUUCCACUAAAAGAUAAGACCUCACCCACCUUGUCUCACAAAGAGAAACUGCAGUCUGCUGGGGGAUGCAACGACAGACAGAGCUAUUUCCCUGCAGUACUGAAAAAGUAGUGCUACUUCUGAGUAAACUUUGCUGCUGUUCUUACUAUUUUUAUCCAACCUUGAUCAAAUCAAUGACAGCAACGAUUGGCAUGUGCAUUUUGUACAUUAAAAAUAGACUAGCAAAGAUUGUCCUGAGUCUGUGUCCAUUUGGUUCUCUUGCAACAAGGCAAUACCUCACUCCUGGGGUCCAAAUAUGCCCUGACCACUUAAAAGCUAGGAGGAUGUUUAUAUUAUUGCAAAUUAGUGAUGAGAUUGAGCCACCAAACUGAGAUCCAGAACUAAACUUCCCCAACAUUCAAGGGUGUCUGGAUUGGGGUGGGGGGAGGCAGGGGUCAGCUGUGAAAUGCAGAUCUGGACCUCACAUUCCCAAGUUCACAUCCGUCUCUGUUAUAAAUGUCUCUGGUACAGUGGAGGAUUAACUUUCUUUGCACCAAGGUUUUCCCUUUCCAGGUUCACGUCUGAUGCAGGAGACAAGGGGAAAUGAUCACACACCGAAUGGGCCUUGCCUGUGAGAUAGAACACAUGAAAUAAUGAAUGAGGAGGAAACAUACCACAGACUCAGAAGGAUAUUUGCAGGAGGGCAGCUGGAAGGGCUCCCUCCUUCCAUUCUAUCUGUUUAUCAACAGGAUAUAGAUACUUGAAGACUGUGCCCCUCCCAAAGCCCUCAUUUUCCUUUGCAGAAUAAUAAGCAAACAGGUCUUAGCCUGCUGCCUGCAGGGAAAUGGUUUUGUUAUGGAAGGAGCGCCCUGCACUAAAACAACAAACAGAAGAAUGGCUGUGUUUGUUUUUCUGUGUGCUGGAGGUGAAGGUGCAGCCAGAGUGGGGCUACUUUCACAUCCUCUCCAAUUGAUAGAGGGCAGGGGACAGGCUCAGAAACACACACACACACAACAAUGCGUGCGGUCAGAUUAUAAUUGGCUUGGAAAUAUAAAACUUUGGUCCCUGGUCCAUAUCAACAUGCACCCCCAAUGUGUGCUGCAUGCUGGCCAAAUGGGAGUUAUAGAACUCCCAGAUGUGCAGGCCCCUCUCUCCUGAGGUAACCUCAUAGCAUGACUUGAAGGACUGAGGGGAGGAUUAUGGACUAGAGUGCUUCUCCUCCUCCCUUCAGCCUAUCUAUACCCACAGCAGGUGACAAGCCAACAACACUGAAAUUGUACUGUCUGUUUCUCACUAAUUCAGGGUAUAUGUGGGAAAGGAGGAUGACUUAUCCAGAGAGGUCCCCCCAUUGCUACAUCCCAAAGACAGGAGGUUAGGUAAAAGUAACUACAAUUCUGAGCCAAUGCAACAUUCUACAGAAUGGCUCUGCAGAGGUAAUCUCAUGGAGGAGGAUGUAUCUUUAUC